UACAGAGGGUGCGAGCGUUAAUCGGAAUUACUGGGCGUAAAGCGCGCGUAGGCGGCUUUGCAAGUCGGAUGUGAAAUCCCCAGGCUUAACCUGGGAACUGCAUUCGAGACUGCUUUGCUAGAGUAUGGGAGAGGGAAGUGGAAUUUCCGGUGUAGCGGAUGGAAAUGCGUAGAUAUCGUAAGGAAGACCAGUGGCGGAAGGCGGGUCGCUGGACAGUUCCUGACGCUGAGGCACGAAGGUCAGGGGAGCAAACGGG
rnacentral:rRNA from 1 species